rnacentral:lncRNA from 1 species
AGCACACAUCGCUUCAAGAUUUUAGUUCUUUUUUUCCUUCCUCCAGAAUGAAGUGGACAUCAGACCCAUGUGUUCAAAAGUCCUGCAGACGGUGUCCUUGCCCGGACUGAUCCGCCUGCUAUGUGAGCCUGGCAACACCUCAGCCUUCGUGGUCUUGAGUGACAGCGCCACAGAGGUGGCUCUGAGGGAACAAGCCCUGGGGCAGCGCCCCUACCUCAGCACCAUCCCAUCAGCGCCUGAGUUCGUCUCCCCACAGCACCUGCUGAGCCAUCUGGUGCUGUAUGCUGUGAAGCCCUAUCGCGAGAACACAUUUGGAGUCAGCUCCCUGAGGCUCCUCCAAGCCCUGGGUCCCAUCACCGCCCUGCGCCUUGUCGCCAGCGCAGACGUGGACCAGCUGUGGAGCACGGAGAUCCCCCAGAUGUUGCAGAUGCUGUAUGAACACACAGAGAAGAGCCUGGAUCAGGAGGAGUGGGAGGACAGGCUGCUCCAGUUUUAUAGCAGGUCACUGGAGGCCAUCAGUGAUGACAGCUGGCUGGAGCAACAGACUGUGACCACCCUGGAAAGGAUAGAAAAUGGCAGUGACGAGGAGGAACAGAAGGCCUUCCUCUACAAAUUCUUUGCCUUCACCCUGCGGACCUCAAGCAGUCCGGACCUGGUGCGGAGGAUGCUCUCUGCAGUGCUGAACGCCUCCCACGAGGAGCCGCAGCAGAGGGAGGGCAUCGCCGUGGCACUCGCUAUCGUGUCCCUGAGACACCUGAGGGUAGCUCUGGACCAGCUGGAAGUGUACGGCGCGAACCUCACCGACAAGGACAGAUCGUGUGUCCUGACACUGACCAAGGAACAUCAGCACAGGGAGUGGGGGCUGGUCUGUAGCACCGUCUACCUAAGCUACAGGAAGAUAAUCUCAGUGACUGAAGAUGCCCUCUCACUACCUCUCGAUUCCAUUCUGGCCUUGGCCGUGGAACACUACGGCCACUGCAUCGUGGAAAAGGAUACGACUCUGACUCUGGCCUACCUGGACGCCCUGACGCAGAUGACCAGCUUCCUGGGCGAGCGGCCCAUGCCCUUGCCAUGCGAGGUUCCCCCCACAAACUAG